GUGGUCGCCUUUAUAAAAUCCGAUUUUUAUAUCGGCGGUUGAGUAAUCAUCUGACUCGGUGAAGUUCACCGGAAUUACAGCCGACCACCGCGAAAAAGACUGCCGGAAAGCGUCUUGGACGUCGUCGGAGCUUAAAUAAUCGAUCAUAUGAUUACCGGAAAAGGCGUACGUUAGCGUCAUGUGCGCCGAUCUCCCCCACCGCGGCUCACCGGAAAAGUAGGCAUAGUGUUUGCUGACGUGGAUAUUAUUAUUAAUAUUACUACUAUUCGUUGAUUGUUUCACGGAGUCGCUCAUACCACAGCGCGGUGACAUUAUUUGUGUAACGGUGACGGCGUCGAGCUUUCCGGUGACCGUAAGUCCGAGGUUUUUCUGGUAGUUUACGACGGCGGAUUCGAAGGUGUCGUCGAAUACGUCCGUGAAGUUGUGAACGACGUCGUUCGGGGUCUGGAGGUAGCCGAAACGGUGGAAGUAUUUUUUAAGCUCGGACAUGCCGGAGAAGUUGGCACCCUUGCCGGCGUCGAUGAAAGUGAGGAAGUUUUGCCACGUGGCGUUUGGUGAGAGGUCGCCGGCUAUUAAACCGCUGGGAAAUGUUCUGGCGGGAAAUAGAUGAAAGAGGAGAGAGAGAGUUAACAGGAAGAGGAUGUUGUUAUAACUGAAAAAACUGAACAUGUUUUCUUACUUGUUAAUCAAUUUGUAUUUUGUAAAGCGUUUUUGAAUUUGAUCAACACCAAUAAUCAAACUAUUUAUAUGCGGAAUAUUGUUAUUUCUAAAUUAAUUUAUUAUUUUUUUAAAUGAACGAUUUAAUUUUUUUCCUAAGCUUAAGAAAUAAUAUGAUUAUAACAAUAUAAUUUGUGUUAGGGUGGCGUUAUACAGUGAACACUAGUGUAUUUUCGAAUUAAGUGAACAAAUUCUGGCCAUUGAUCUACACACGUGUAUGGCCAGGAUCUCAUCAUCAAAUCGUAAAAUACACUAGUGUAUUUCAACAUCAAAUUCUGGCCAUUGAUCUCCACACGUCUAUGGUCAGGAUUAGUUCACUCAAUUCGCAAACUACACUAGUAUGGCUGAAGCUCUUAUCGUCUUUUUAG
rnacentral:lncRNA from 1 species